rnacentral:rRNA from 1 species
AUUGAACGCUGGCGGCAUGCCUUACACAUGCAAGUCGAACGGUAACAGGUUUUCGGCUGCUGCCGAGUGGCGGACGGGUGCGUAAUACUUCGGAAUGUGCCCAGACGUGGGGGAUAACGAGGCGAAAGCUAGGCUAAUAUCCCCUACGACCUCAGGCUGACAGCGGGUGACCGCAAGGCAUUGCGCGUCCUGAGCGGACGGUGGCAGAUUAGGUAGUUGGUGGGAUAAAGGCCUACCAAGCCGACGAUCUGUAGCUGGUCUGAGAGGAUGAGCAGCCACACUGGAACUGAGACACGGUCCAGACUCCUACGGGAGGCAGCAGUGGGGAAUAUUGGACAAUGGGCGCAAGCCUGAUCCAGCAAUGCCGCGUGCGUGAUGAAGGCCUUCGGGUUGUAAAGUGCUUUUGUAGGGAACGAAAAGGCGCUGGCUAAUACCUGGGUGUCAUGACGGUACCGAAAGAAUAAGCACCGGCUAACUACGUG